rnacentral:rRNA from 1 species
CUUGACUGUAUCCCGGAAUUGGGUUCGGGCUUUUCUUGCGCAGCCUAGGUGGGAGGCUAUGAAGAUUUCCUUCCGGGGAAGUUGGAGCCAUCAGUGAGAGACCACUCUGGAGAGGCUAGAAUCCUAAUGGUGAUCCUUGAAUCAGGACACUUGACAGUUUCAGGUGGGCAGUUUUUCUGGGGCGGAAGCCUCAUAAAGGGUAACUGAGGCGCGCAAAGGUCCCCUCAGUCUGGACGGAAAUCAGACAACGAGUGUAAAGGCAAAAGGGGGCUUGACUGCAAGACCUACAAGUCGAGCAGGAGCGAAAGCUGGCCUUAGUGAUCCGACGGUGCCGCAUGGAAGGGCCGUCGCUCAACGGAUAAAAGUUA